rnacentral:rRNA from 1 species
UACGUAGGGGGCAAGCGUUGUUCGGAAUUACUGGGCGUAAAGGGCGCGUAGGCGGCACAGCAAGUCGGGAGUGAAAGCCCGGGGCUCAACCCCGGAAUGUCUUUCGAAACUGCUGAGCUAGAGUGCGGAAGAGGCAACUGGAAUUCCCAGUGUAGCGGUGAAAUGCGUAGAUAUUGGGAAGAACACCUGAGGCGAAGGCGGGUUGCUGGGCCGACACUGACGCUGAGGCGCGAAAGCCAGGGGAGCGAACGGG